rnacentral:misc_RNA from 1 species
UUGGAAUUUUAACAGUUGGGGAGGUGAGAAUUUUAAUUCAAAUCUCACAUCUAUCGCUGCUCUCUAAUUACACAAUUUUUGCUUCUGUAUAGUACUAAUUACAAGUUUACAACCAAUUCAUAUUAAAGAUAAUAUAAAAUAGUGUUGCAAUUUUGAUGCUUUAUUGUGUAAUAGACUAUUGCCUGCUGUAAUUUGAUAUCUUGG